rfam:Winogradskyella sp. PC-19 genome.
UAACCUCUGGCGAAAAUCGCGAAUGUUG